UCAGCGGAAGCCGAAAAGCUUGAACAGAGUAGGCA
rnacentral:ncRNA from 1 species